UGCGUAGGUGGUCUGAUAAGUCAGAAGUGAAAGGCUACGGCUUAACCGUAGUAAGCUUUUGAAACUGUUGGACUUGAGUGCAGGAGAGGAAAGUGGAAUUCCUAGUGUAGCGGUGAAAUGCGUAGAUAUUAGGAGGAACACCAGUGGCGAAGGCGACUUUCUGGACUGUAACUGACACUGAGGCACGAAAGCGUGGGGAGCGAACA
rnacentral:rRNA from 1 species